GAUGAAGAACGUAGCGAAAUGCGAUAAGUAGUGUGAAUUGCAGAAUUCAGUGAAUCAUCGAAUCUUUGAACGCACAUUGCGCCCUCUGGUAUUCCGGAGGGCAUGCCUGUUCGAGCGUCAUUAUCACCCCUCAAGCCCGGCUUGUUGUUGGAUGCAGCGCUUAUCCCGCUCCUCCCAAAGAUAAUGACGGCGUCUGCGACGACUCCUGUACACUGAGCUUUCGGGCACGUACACGGCUAGAAGUCCAGACCCGGUCGCCGUCCCCCCCGCGGGGACACCCAUUACCACAAGGUUGACCUCGGAUCAGGUAGGAAUACCCGCUGAACUUAAGCAUAUCAAUAAGCGGAGGA
rnacentral:misc_RNA from 1 species